rnacentral:rRNA from 1 species
AGUGAACGCUGGCGGUAGGCCCAACACAUGCAAGUCGAACGGCAGCACAGUAAGAGCUUGCUCUUACGGGUGGCGAGUGGCGGACGGGUGAGGAAUACAUCGGAAUCUACUUUUUCGUGGGGGAUAACGUAGGGAAACUUACGCUAAUACCGCAUACGACCUACGGGUGAAAGCAGGGGAUCUUCGGACCUUGCGCGAUUGAAUGAGCCGAUGCCGGAUUAGCUAGUUGGCGGGGUAAAGGCCCACCAAGGCGACGAUCCGUAGCUGGUCUGAGAGGAUGAUCAGCCACACUGGAACUGAGACACGGUCCAGACUCCUACGGGAGGCAGCAGUGGGGAAUAUUGGACAAUGGGCGCAAGCCUGAUCCAGCCAUACCGCGUGGGUGAAGAAGGCCUUCGGGUUGUAAAGCCCUUUUGUUGGGAAAGAAAAGCAGCAGGUUAAUACCCCGCUGUUCUGACGGUACCCAAAGAAUAAGCACCGGCUAACUUCGUG